CCGGUUGAUCCUGCGGGAGAUUGCUGCUAUUGGAAUCCGACUAAGGCAUGCAAGUCAGGGACUUCUUCGGAAGGACCGGCAGACCGCUGAGUAACACGUCAGUAACCUGCCCUAUGGUCUGGGAUAGCCCCGGGAAACUGGGAGUAAUACCGGAUAGGAGCCGAGACCUGGAAUGGUCCGGUUCCCAAAGCUUCGGCGCGAUAGGAUGGGCUGGCGGCUGAUUAGGUAGAUGGCGGGGUAACGGCCCACCAUGCCGACGAUCGGUAGGGGCCAUGAGAGUGGGAGCCCCCAGAGGGACACUGAGAUACUGGUCCCAGCCCUACGGGGUGCAGCAGCUACGAAACCUUUACAAUGCACGAAAGUGUGAUAAGGGGAUUCCAAGUGCUCAUGCACAGCAUGGGCUUUUGCCAAGGGUAAAGUCCUUGGCGAAUAAGUGGUGGGAAAGACCGGUGCCAGCAGCCGCGGUAACACCGGCGCCACAAGUGGCAAUCGCAAUUACUGGGUCUAAAGCGUCCGUAGUCGGCCUGAUCAAUCUUUCGUGAAAUCGUAGUGCUUAACAUUACGGCGUGCGGGAGAUAUUGUCAAGCUAGGGACCGGGAGGAGUUGGGGGUAUGCCUGAGGGAGCGGUAAAAUGUUAUAAUCUCAGGUAGACCACCUGUGGCGAAGGCGCCCAACUAGAACGGAUCCGACGAUGAGGGACGAAGGCCAGGGGAGCGAACCGGAUUAGAUACCCGAGUAGUCCUGGCAGUAAACGCUGUGAACUAGGUGUUGCAUAUCCUUGAGGAUAUGCAGUGUCGAAGCGAAGGUGUUAAGUACGCCACCUGGGAAGUACGGCCGCAAGGCUGAAACUUAAAGGAAUUGGCGGGGGAGGACUACAAGGGGUGCGGCGUGCGGUUUAAUCUAACUUAACGCAGAAAAUCUCACCAGCAGCGACGGCAGGAUGAAGAUCAGUCUAAAGGGCUUAUCUGACGAGCCGAGAGGUAGUGCAUGGCCGUCGUCAGCUCGUGCCGUAAGGUGUCCUGUUAAGUCAGGCAACGAGCGAGACCUGUGCCUACAAUUGCCAGCAAGUUCUUCGGAAUGAUUGGGCACUUUGUAGGGACUGCCCUGGAAACAGGGAGGAAGGUGCAGGCUACGGUAGGUCUGUAUGCUCCGAAUCUGCUGGGCUACACGCGCGCAACAAUGGUAAGGACAAUGGGAUGCUACUCCGAAAGGAGGCGCUAACCCUCUAAACCUUAUCCUAGUUUAGAUCGUGGGUUGGAACUCACCCACGUGACAGUGGAAUCCCUAGUAAUCGGCUUUCAUCAUAUGCCGGUGAUAUGUCCCUGCUCCUUGCACACACCGCC
rnacentral:rRNA from 1 species